AAUUUACACAAUGGCUUGCAUCCAUAUUUCCUAUUCCCUUUUGCAUAAACUAGACAGGAACUUUCAUGCUUUUCUAUGGGGACACUCCCCGGAUCGUCAUGGUCUUUAUCUAAUUUCUUGAUCUGCAGUUUGUUCCCCUAAAUCUUAGGGAUGGUUGGGCCUUCAAUCUUUACAUCUAAAGCAACAAUUUAAUUCUGAUGAAAAAGUUAGCUGCAGAACUAAUUUUGCAGCCGCAUUCUCUCUGGGGCUAGCUAAGUGGUGCCAAGUAUAGGUUUCAAGGUACAUGGUGAAAUUAUUUUCCUCCACAUACAAGUUCUUCUAUUUGGAAAUAGAUUUCUACUCAUGGCUCUUCAAUCUCUUAUCAGUUUCAAUGGGCUUUGACUGAUGGUACCCGUGUUAAUAUUUUGUUCAAUACAUGGAUCUCUAGCCUUUCUCUCUAUGCUUGGGUGGAUCUACAGGCUGUUUACGUAGCAACCUUCAUUCAGCUAGAUAGGACAUGGAACCUACAUGUUCUCUCGCAAGUGUUCCAGACUGAAAUGAUGUUCAUUAUUAAAAAUAUUCCCAUUUCUCAUGGGUGAGGAUCUAAUCAGUGCAAUAUUCCCGUUUGCUUGCUCCUUUUGGCCAGCAAUAGCUAGGGUAUUGCAAUAUCACCUCUCUUUCUGUUCUUUGCUGGCAUUAGUGUCUGCUCUUCUCUUAUCGAUGUCUUGGUAUAGAAUAGGAUUAAGGUUGUAAUCGCAUAUACUCUUUGGUUGCUCUGGUUAGCAAGGAAUCAGCGUGUGUUUGAAGGCAGCCAUACUUCUUUCUGCAAGACAUAUUUCAGGAUAAUAUUAUUUCUCAUGUUCCACGGUCAGCUUUAAUUCAUCCAAGGUAUUGGGAUAGCUCAUUAUCAUCAUCUUCUUCUUUUAUUUCUUCGAAUUUUGUUAGGUGGCUUCCCUUACCCCUUGGAGCAGUUAAAAUUAACUAUGGUGGAUCGGUUCAAAACCAUAGGGCAGCCGCGGCUCAUUUCAUUAGAAAUGCUGAUGGCCCUCAAGGCUGCAGAAAUAAGAUUAAAUUACUUCAGUACCUUUUGCUGAGCUGAUUGAUGCUUGAAUUUUUUUUAAAAUAAUAUUUUUUAAUAUCUAUUUUCGAAAGUAUGGUUACUUUAAAGUUAUUUACGGAUCUACGGUUGUUUUGGCCAGUAGGAUGCCACAUAGGAAAUCGCAGGUUCUGCCUGUGAUUUUUUGGUCCAUGUGGCAUCGGAUACAUGGUAGUGUACUUAAUGAAAUCUUAGAUUGAAGAUGAGACUUCAAUUAGAAGUCUCACUUUCAACAUGAGAUUUCUCAACCAUGCUCCAUUUACCUUUCUUCGAUUGUCCUCACCAGUUGCUCGUGGCCCACCCAGCUUUCCUCCUUCCUUCUCGUGGUCCCCCAUUAUUUCUUCCUGUUUGCUGGCCGCCCACCCUCUCUUCAUCUAUUAGUGGUCUCCCCUCCCUUCGCCCCUCAUUAGGUGGCCCCCAACCCAUUUCUCCACCCUUUUCGUGGCCUCCCAUGCAUUUUUCGUGAUUUCUUCUAUUCUGUAAGUAUUAUUUUGAUAAAUUUUCUUUCUUUAUUUAAAUACUAUUUAUUUUAUACCGUAUUUUAAUUUUUGUUGAAAUGUUGUUAUGAUUAGUAGAUAAGAUAAUUAGAUUAAUUUUUGUGCACACAAGAAAUAAGAUUUUGAUAGAUCCAAGUUGUUUUACAUGGUUAAAUUUAGUUUUCUAGUUAUAUAUGUUAAUUAUAUUUUGUUUAUAGGAUGCCUGAUUUAUUGUAUUGAUUAAACAGGUCGUGAAAAAUGGGAGAAACCGUCAGGCUCUAUGUUAUAUUAAUGGUUCUAUAGUUGACAAGCCAUAUGGCAUUGAAUACAGUCAGGGACCACAAAAGGCUAUUAGAAUGAAAUAUGAAAUGAAAUAUGAAGAGUUAGAGGAUAAGCUAUAUAAAGUGUUUUGUAUUGAUAGAAGAAGGAAUAAAAUAGUGAUAACAUAUAGAUAUCUAUAAGUUGUGCAGUCAACAAUGUUAAAUCAUGUACCAGUUCUGAUUAUCGAAGAUGAGGAUAUGGAGAUAAUUUUUUCAACUGUGAGUUCGCAUCCAUGUCUAUCAUCCCACCAUCUGGUAAACUUCAGGGGUCGCAAUUGAGCAUGACUUGGCUAGUGGAGCAGUUCAGUGAGUUAUCACCUAAUGCCGAUCAAGUGAUGAUACCACAUUAUGCUAGGACAUACAUUUUGCAGCUCACGGGUGGAUGUUUGUUCCCUGACAAGUCAGGCAGCCAUAUGCAUCUUAUGUUUCUUCCAUUAUUUGAGGAUUUUGAGUUUGCGGGACAUUACAGCUGGGACAGUGUAGGCCGUGCAUGAUUGCACAGGGAGUUAUGCAAGACAAGCAGAUUAGAUGCACAUGAGAUUGCCAGGCCACUUAUACUACUAUAGCUAUGGGCUUGGGAUAGGUUUCCCAUUUCAGCAUCUCGCAGAUUAGGCCAGCCUAUUGUAGAUCCUUUGAUAGAUUUACAUGAUGGUGGGGAUCCAUUGUCACGGGGUCCAUUGGGGAUAAGAUGGAGAGAUGCUUUUUCGGUGAUGGAGGUAUCGACACAUGUGCUCAGUUCUUACCGAUACUACCUCAAUCGAUAGAGACCAAAGCAUGUGAUAUGGCAGCCAUAUACUCAUGACAUUAUGGCUAGGCUACUUGACUAUUGUUUAGAUGGGCAGGAUAUAUGGUGUACCCAAGUACCACUCAUUUAUUUUCAUAUCGUAGAGUGGUACUUUACUGAUAGAGUGCUGCGACAGUUUGGGAUUCGCUAGCUUGUUCCUGUGUAGUGUGACACAGAUGUGAGACUAUACCACAUGGACUUGAGAGGAGUGACGGCAUGGCGAGGAUAUAUUAGCUUGCUCAUCCUGAUUCUAUAUCCACGACCUCGCAGCCGAUCAUGGACAUUUGCAACACCAUCCUCCAUGCUGUCGAUGAGCAUACUCGUCUUCAGAUAGGUGUCUUCGCUCAUGACUUUGGCACAGAGGAUGAGACUCCUUCACCGUUUGCAUAUCCAUCGUCGUCAGUAGCACCUCCAGUUUGGCAGAGAUGUGGUAUUCAAUGGCAUAGUACCUCUCCACAUCUAAUGCCAGAGUUUUCUUCGUUCACAUAGUACACACUACCGCCACUCGCAUUGACGAUGAUGUGACACAGUUCACAUAUACUGAUGGUGUUUCUACGCAUUUUGCAUAUGAAGCGGAUGACAUGAUCCACCAUAAAUACUCAUAUGAUAGAGAAUAUUCAGCCGAGGGAGUCACCCAGGAGGCCAUCACUCAGGAGGCUAUCACUUAGGAGGCUGUCACCCGAGUAGAGCAUCGAACAGUGGACCAGGAGGGGCCGACUCAGCCCACCAUUACGUAUUGUAUGAGGCAACCUAAACAGAGAAAGAGACGGCCACCAUGUGGGACUUAGGAUAUAUAUUUUAGGAUUCUCUUUAUGUAGUACAUUCAUGUGUUUAUCUUAUUUUAUAUUUACUUUCUAUCAUGGUUUGUAUGGAACAUCUUUGCAUUAAUCUAGCUUAUUUUGUAUUCAC